CAACCCUCAAGCCCAGCUUGGUGUUGGGGCAUUGCGGCCUGCCGCAAGCCCUGAAAAUCAUUGGCGGGCUCGCUAUAACUCCGAGCGUAGUAAUACAUCUCGCUAAGGAAGAGUGGCGGGCACUUGCCGUAAAACCCCCUAUUUUUAUAAGG
rnacentral:misc_RNA from 1 species